rnacentral:rRNA from 1 species
UACGUAGGGUGCGAGCGUUGUCCGGAAUUAUUGGGCGUAAAGAGCUUGUAGGCGGUUUGUCGCGUCUGCUGUGAAAUUCCGGGGCUCAACCCCGGACUUGCAGUGGGUACGGGCAGACUAGAGUCCGGUAGGGGACCACGGGAAUACCUGGUGUAGCGGUGAAAUGCGCAGAUAUCAGGUGGAACACCGGUGGCGAAGGCGGUGGUCUGGGCCGGAACUGACGCUGAGGAGCGAAAGCGUGGGGAGCGAACAGG